GUCAUUCCGGGUUUUAUUCACUUGCCUCUCUUCUUCCUCUUUCGUUGCUUCUGUAGUUCAAGGAAAGAGAUUCGUGAAGCCAUCGAAGGUUACAAAGGAUAUACAUACUGAUCGUGGUGUCUGUGGCUUAGUGGUAUUUCGCGUUCAAUCGCUUACAAUUGGUCUCGACCCAACAUGAAAAUCGGUGUUAGGAUCAUUCACGCAAGUUCGUCUUACCGGAACGUCUGUUUCUCGCAAAGGCUAUCAAUGAAGAAGCAUCCAACAGGAAAGUUUUUUCCCUUUUUACUGUUAUGCAUGUUUGUUUCAUUGAUAUUUGCUUCUAUUUGGAAGGUUUUAAUUUUAUUUGUUGUUAUGCAUGUUUUCUUCUUAAUAAUAGUUAUUUUUCCUUACUGAUUUUUCAAUUUUGUUUUUGGUUCCUUUUUAUUUUGUCGGGCUAUCGACGAAGAAGCAUCCAGCAGGCAUGUUUUUUCCUCUUUUGCUCUUAUGCAUGUUUGUUUCAUUACUAUUUAUUUUUAUUUGCAAGGUUCUAAUUUUGUUUGUUGUUAUGCAUGUUUUCUUCUUAAUAAUAGUUAUUUUUUCUUACUGAUUUUUCAACUCUGUUUUUGGUUCCCUUUUUAUUUUCCCGGGCUAAUUUUUUCGUCAUCUUCCCCAUAUGGGUUGUAAGUUAUGUGUUUGAUGAAAUGUCUAAAUGAAGUUUUAGUUUUUAAUCUUAAAAAUUCAUGUGCAUAUUGGUUGGAAGCACGAGAACAAAAUUGCCAGUUGUGGAAGUGACAUUACAUUAUCAAUAAUGACAUUAUAUAUACACUCUAAUUUAUUCAAUAUUGAUUAAUUUGUGUACUUUCUUUUUGUUGAUUGAAAACCCUACUCUAAACUUUGUUCCUGUGGCAUUUGUUUUUACUAUGGUGUGCAGUGGUCGAAAGAGGCAUGGAUUCUGCGUCAAGAUGUUUGUGCUGGGUGUUGCAGUUUUGGUAUCGCAGGGAAUGAUCCCAAAGUAAUAAUUUCCCCUCUCUUUUUAUUUUAUUUUUGUGGUUGAGUCACGGGAUUCUUCUCCUGUUAAAGUUGUUCAUAUUCAAAAUAGGAAGCAAAUUAGGUGACUGAUGAAAUUUCCAAAAUAGGUACUUGCAUACACAGGAAAUAGGUACUUCCAUGAGGGUCACAAAUGAUUAAAGUUCAAUUUCAUUAUUUAAUCUCUUAUUCUCUUUCAGGUAUUAUACUAUACAAUAGUGUUUUUUUUAAAAUAGGUUUUCUUUUGCAUUAUUCGACUGCUUAUUUGUAAUAACCAUGAUCAAUAAUCAACAAGGAGAUUCACCAGCAUAGAUACAGAUUUAAAUGUCUUGAAGAAGAGGAUAGAGACAGUGCAUUUGUAAUAACCUUAAGUUCUUUUGAUAAAAUUUAUGUUCAAAAACCUUGGAGGGUUACUGGUGUUCUUUUUCCUGUUACUUUAUUCUUUGAAAUUAAUGUUACUAUUAUUCAAUAUUUGAUGCUUGCCCUUAUACUGCAAAAUUUGUGUGUAACUACAACACAUCAGCCUAUUAAAGAGAUAUUAGAAAAGGAAAAAAAGGUAUGUCUCUUUUUUAUGUUAGUGUUAUGCUUGGUAUCUAUGGGUUUGUCAUUGCUUUUGAUGGUAAGUUACCGUUGGGUUGCAUGCAUAAAUCUUUCCAUAAAGUCUACAUGCUAUUUGCAUGUGUUACUUUCUUCCACGAGCCUGUUGGUAGAGCUUCUGAUGGUCGACUUAUCAUAGAUUUCAUUGGUAAACCUUUUCAUUCUCAUCAUUAUGCUUUAUUUCUUAUUCAUUAAUUUGUGUCACACAAUUGUUCAAUAGCAUGCUUGAUUUUCUAUUUACUUUGCUUUCUUUUUCUUCUAUCAUUAUGUGGUGUCUCAUAACACAAGCUAAUUAAUCUUCUUUUGUUUGAGUUUUGUCAUGCAGAGAUUGGAUUCCAGUUUGUGUUGUUAUUGACCGACACAAGCAUCUCUUUCCACAUGAAUAAAGCUGGGAUUCAAUAAGAAUGAAUCGUGAAGAUUAAUUUUCCCAGCAUCUUGGUUUUCCAUUCUUCAGUGCAUACAUAAACUCAAUUGGAACAAGUUGCAGGCAUGGAGCAAACUUAAUUUGCUGCAGGAUCAUCAACCAUUAGGCGCCAAAAAAGGAUAGUCUUUGAGGGUGGCACUCCUUUCACUUUUGAAAUACAGGUUGCACAGUUCAACCAGUUUAAGGCACGCAUCGGAAAGUUCUUCAAGCAAGAAGGGAGAAACUCCUUCAGAGAACACUUUCCUAGGCUAGAGGACUUUGCCAAGGCUAUCUACAUAUUUGAUAUUGGAAAAAAUGAUAUUGUUGCUGCUAUUAACAGAGUGGGCCAGGAAGAUUCUCACGCAGUCAUCUCAGACAUUGUGGAUUAUUUUGAAAACCAAAUCCAAGUAAAAACACCACACCAGUUUUUGGGUCUGCCACAGGGAGCAUGGUUUCAAGAUGGUGGGUUCGAGAUUUCUGUGUUAGAUUUGGGUCUACAAAUUAGCAAAAACUCCACACCUGUAGAUUUAAAUACUAAGUUUAGAUUUGGUGUUCUACCUACGAUACUUAAUGAAUUAUAAUUAAAUUGAAAACCCAUAUUUUGGUAAA